UACAACGGUAUUGGACGGAAGGGCACCGUCGAAUGUGAAGCGGUGUAGAUCACGCUUCGAGCCCUCUGUAAUUGUAGAGCCGUACUGACACUCGAGCGCGUCUCUGACAGCUUCAGCGCUGCUCCAAAAAGGCCGCCGUCGCUCACUUACUGUCCGCGCUCUUGCUUACGCUGCGGUUCAUCAUGGGCAUCCUAACAAACUGGUACGAAAGCCUCGCGCAGGAGAAGCAGCUGGAGCUGCUCAUGACGCUGGGCAUGUACGAUGAGCGCGUGUACGAGGUGGUGGAGCGACAUCACCUGGCACCUGACAUUCUGCAGACGCUGCCGUCCCCCCUCACCGCCCAUUUCUUGGCACGUGGCAUGUGCUACGACGCCAUUAACGAGGAGGUGGUUCGCAAUUUUGUGCGCAUUUGCAUGAUGCUGUCGCGCUACCGUACCGUCGAGGAGGCGUCGACGCUAGCGGAGCUGAUCGGCAGCUGCGGGCUGCCAGAGCAGUAUCGCAUGCAGAUGUUCAACUUUAGCGAGACGUAUCGGCACAUGAUACUCUCGCAAUCCUACUUUCCUCAGCGAGCGGUGCUGCGCCUGCUGUCGUACAUCUUCUGUGACGAUGUUCUCUCCGAUGCCGUGGCGCAGCUGCAGUACAAGUCCGACAUAUUAAACCAUGUAAACAAGGUGUUCGUAACCACACCGGACUUUGUGUCGUGGCGCUUCUCCGUCCGAUGCAUGUCCCUAGCCGGCGGCUUUAACGAAGAUCGCUCAGACGUCGAGUACACGGAGCUCCUCACGCGGGCUGUGUCGCAGGCGCUGCCCGAGUUUUUCAGCUACCUCCUGGUCGCCUUCUGCUACGCCCGCUUUCGCUUAUACCCGCAGCGGGUGCGCGGUAUCACCCCGCGGUGGCUGGUGCGGCAGCGUGCCUGCUUCUCUGCCCUUUACUGCGCUCUUCUUGGUGUUUACUGCAACGCCAUCUUGGAGUACCGUGUGCACGAGCACCGCGUCCUGUACGAGUUGCGCAAGAGUCGAGAGAUGCGACGACGCCGCGGUGCCGAGCGCCGCGGCCUCCCGUACGAAAACAAUCCAUACUUUGAUAACCUUGAAGGGGUGACGCGGCGCGUCUACAUGAUGCAGCUGUCUGCCUACACCUUCACUGCUCUUGGUCUCGCUGUCUCCAUGCUCCCCUUGACCUCUGUGAAGUUCCCCAAGUUCAUGGGCGACGUCGCAUGGCGCCAUCCCUUCGUGCCGCGCCUCUUUCCAGCUUUGCUUGGCAUGCACGCCGCCUCGCGCUGCCUCAUCCCCUUUGUUGUCGCACCGUUCACUGCCGUGAGCCUCGCCAUGCACGGCAAUUGGGGGACCACCCUGUACGACCGCUACGUCGAGCUCCGUAUGCGGCUUUGGCAUCGGAAGGUGGACGUGGCCUUCGACACGUCGACUGAGAUGGAUGAGGUGGAUAUCAUCGGCGCCGGCACGACAAGGAAGAGCGCGUCUUGAGCUGCUGCGGGAAACAUCUUUGUCCUUUUUCGAGCGUCGCCAUGAGCAGUUUGCGACCGACUGCGGGCGUCUCCGCUUGCGGAUGCGCGCAGACGUCUUUGCGCUCCUACCCCACCCUCUCUUCUCCCGACAGAGGCAGCUUCGUCGGCUCAAGAGGCGGCGCUCACUUUUAAUGGCUUGAUUUCGGAGUCAAGCGCUGUUACUUUCUUUUUUGUUGUUGUUGGCAGAGAUUUCGAGGGUCUGGCGGUUCUGCUACCCCUGACUUCACUCGGCUGUUGGUGCGAAUUGCGGUUGACCUUUUCAAUGACGCUGCUCAGCAUCCUGUGCAUCCUUCACAC
rnacentral:misc_RNA from 1 species